AGAGAGAGACAUGCGCGCAUAUCAAUAAGCGGAGGAAAAGAAACUAACUAGGAUUCCCUCAGUAACGGCGAGUGAAGCGGGAAGAGCUCAAAUUUGAAAUCUUCAAGGUUCUACCUUGACGAAUUGUAGUUUAAAGAAGUGUUUUCUGUUGGAGUUUUGGUAAAAGUUCUUUGGAAUAGGACAUCAUAGAGGGCGAGAAUCCCGUAUUUGACCAUUAUUUCCAGCUUUGUGAUACACUUUCAAAGAGUCGGAUUGUUUGGGAAUGCAGUCCAAAAUGGGUGGUAAAUUUCAUCUAAAGCUAAAUAUUGGCGAGAGACCGAUAGCGAACAAGUACCGUGAGGGAAAGAUGAAAAGAACUUUGAAAAGAGAGUUAAACAGUACGUGAAACUGUCAAAAGGGAAGCGUUUGACACCAGUGUUGUUUUCUCGAAAAUCAAUUAAAAAAGGCAGGAUUUUGUGUUGUAUUGACUUUAUCAGCUUUCUGCACUCUUUUCUUGUCUUUUUUAAUGCACUUUUCGUUUAACAAGUCAACAAUCAAUUUCUUUUGUUGUAAAAGGGUCAUUGGAAGGUGGCUUUCUUUUCGGAGAAAGUGUUUAUAGCCUUUGGCCUCUGCAAUCGGAGAGAUUGAGGUCUGCAGCGUAGAUCCUUCGGGGUUAGAUACAUUUGUGCUAAGUUAUAGCCUUUCAUAGACAACUUGUUGACUAUGAUCAGUCAUGUAGCUUACUCGCUUAUGCUAUUUUACCUACGCUUAGGAUGUUGAUGUGAUACUGCGAGCA
rnacentral:rRNA from 1 species